rnacentral:rRNA from 1 species
CCUACGGGAGGCUGCAGUGAGGAAUAUUGGUCAAUGGGCGUAAGCCUGAACCAGCCAUCCCGCGUGAAGGAAGAAGGCGCUAUGCGUCGUAAACUUCUUUUCCAGAGGAAUAAAAUUUCGUACGUGUACGGAACUGAAGGUACUUUGGGAAUAAGCAUCGGCUAACUCCGUGCCAGCAGCCGCGGUACUACGGAGGAUGCGAGCGUUAUCCGGAUUUAUUGGGUUUUAGGGGGACUUAUACGGAUGAAUAGAACACCUUCAGCUUAACUGGAGAACGGCCAUUGAGACUGUUAGUCUUGAGUACGGUCAAGGUAGGCGGAAUGUGUAAUGUAGCGGUGAAAUGCUUAGAUAUUACACAGAACACCGAUUGCGAAGGCAGCUUACUGGGCCAUUACUGACGCUGAUGCACGAAAGCGUGGGGAGCGAACAGGAUUAGAUACCCCGGUAGUC